rnacentral:rRNA from 1 species
GAUGAACGCUGGCGGCGUGCUUAACACAUGCAAGUCGAACGAUGAAGCCGGAGCUUGCUCCGGUGGAUUAGUGGCGAACGGGUGAGUAACACGUGAGCAAUCUGCCCUUGACUCUGGGAUAACUGCGGGAAACUGUAGCUAAUACCGGAUACGACACCUUGGGGCAUCCCAGGGUGUGGAAAGAAUUUCGGUCAAGGAUGAGCUCGCGGCCUAUCAGCUAGUUGGUGAGGUAAUGGCUCACCAAGGCGACGACGGGUAGCCGGCCUGAGAGGGUGACCGGCCACACUGGAACUGAGACACGGUCCAAACUCCUACGGGAGGCAGCAGUGGGGAAUAUUGCACAAUGGGCGAAAGCCUGAUGCAGCAACGCCGCGUGAGGGAUGAAGGCCUUCGGGUUGUAAACCUCUUUUAGCAGGGAAGAAGCGAAAGUGACGGUACCUGCAGAAAAAGCACCGGCUAACUACGUGCCAGCCGCCGCAGUAA